AUUGAACGCUGGCGGCAGGCCUAACACAUGCAAGUCGAACGGUAACAGGAAGAAGCUUGCUUCUUUGCUGACGAGUGGCGGACGGGUGAGUAAUGUCUGGGAAACUGCCUGAUGGAGGGGGAUAACUACUGGAAACGGUAGCUAAUACCGCAUAACGUCGCAAGACCAAAAAGGGGGACCUUCGGGCCUCUUGCCAUCGGAUGUGCCCAGAUGGGAUUAGCUAGUAGGUGGGGUAACGGCUCACCUAGGCGACGAUCCCUAGCUGGUCUGAGAGGAUGACCAGCCACACUGGAACUGAGACACGGUCCAGACUCCUACGGGAGGCAGCAGUGGGGAAUAUUGCACAAUGGGCGCAAGCCUGAUGCAGCAUGCCGCGUGUAUGAAGAAGGCCUUCGGGUUGUAAAGUACUUUCAGCGGGGAGGAAGGGAGUAAAGUUAAUACCUUUGCUCAUUGACGUUACCCGCAGAAGAAGCACCGGCUAACUCCGUG
rnacentral:rRNA from 1 species